rnacentral:lncRNA from 1 species
CACAAACACCCCGGCAGAUGGACACCUCCUGGCCCGCCGGCCUCUGUACCCCUCCGAAAUGGGAGUACCGCAGCAUCCCACAGGAGCAGCCGCGCCCACCUGAUGAGCACAGGUCUCGUCGUAGUGCAGGAUCAGCUGCAUCUGCAGGAGGCCUGGGGACAGGACAGAGAGCGGCGUGCAGGGAGCAGCCUAGCUUUGGGCGCCACCGAGCAGAAGACGGCAUGCAGGCCUCGCAGGGAGCUCCAAUCACCGAAGGCAUUCCCGCUGACAGCGCCCCUCAGGACAGCGGGGUUCCCGGGCUGCGCCACGCCUUCUGCCAGCCCGCGGCCACUUGGCCAGCUAAGCCCAGACCCCCACCCGCCUUGCUCCGCCGGCCUCCAAUUCUGACGGUGGCAGGUCUGUCCGGGAGCCCGGACCCCCGUCCCCCACCCACACCGA